GACGAACGCUGGCGGCGUGCCUAAUACAUGCAAGUCGAACGCACGAAGUUGAAGAGCUUGCUCUUUAAACAAGUGAGUGGCGGACGGGUGAGUAACACGUGGGUAACCUGCCCAUUAGAGGGGGAUAACAUUCGGAAACGGAUGCUAAUACCGCAUAGUUUCAGGAAUCGCAUGAUUCUUGAAGGAAAGGUGGCUUCGGCUACCACUAAUGGAUGGACCCGCGGCGUAUUAGCUAGUUGGUGAGGUAAUGGCUCACCAAGGCAAUGAUACGUAGCCGACCUGAGAGGGUGAUCGGCCACACUGGGACUGAGACACGGCCCAGACUCCUACGGGAGGCAGCAGUAGGGAAUCUUCGGCAAUGGGGGCAACCCUGACCGAGCAACGCCGCGUGAGUGAAGAAGGUUUUCGGAUCGUAAAGCUCUGUUGUAAGUCAAGAACGAGUGUGAGAGUGGAAAGUUCACACUGUGACGGUAGCUUACCAGAAAGGGACGGCUAACUACGUGCCAGCAGCCGCGGUAAUACGUAGGUCCCGAGCGUUGUCCGGAUUUAUUGGGCGUAAAGCGAGCGCAGGCGGUUUGAUAAGUCUGAAGUUAAAGGCUGUGGCUCAACCAUAGUUCGCUUUGGAAACUGUCAAACUUGAGUGCAGAAGGGGAGAGUGGAAUUCCAUGUGUAGCGGUGAAAUGCGUAGAUAUAUGGAGGAACACCGGUGGCGAAAGCGGCUCUCUGGUCUGUAACUGACGCUGAGGCUCGAAAGCGUGGGGAGCGAACAGG
rnacentral:rRNA from 1 species